GUAUCUUCCAUCUUCUUUUCAUCUUGCUGGCUAACCUCACAUUUUAUUUAUAGAUUUAACAAGAAGUGGCAAAAAGGUCCCCGUGUCCCCUUUCCCAUAGCUUCCUCCUCUAUCAAAACCAGGAAAUCAGCCUUGGUACAGCGUUCAGUUCUGUGACAUCAUAGGGAGAUUCAUCUAAAGACUGCCACAGUCACCAUGCCCCCACCGCAAAUAUCUAGUGCCUCUGCCACUCUCACUAACGUUAGAACAUGUAUUCUCAGGGUCACAUAAAGAAGCCGAGUAGCGAAGCCCAGCCAUGCCCUCCUGAGAAAGGGCGCUUCUCCAGCAGGACAGAGCUAGCAAGCGCACCGGGAUGAGAUGCUCACUCGGCUUGUAGUCUACAGAAGAUCAAACCCAGGACCUCCUUCCACCAGGCAAGCAGACAGGCACCAUGAAACUGAAUGCUUCUAACUACACUAUCAGGUCAAGAGGCAUGGCGGGUGCUGUCAUUUCUACACAGGGCACCCACCUCUCCCCAUGACAGGAGCACCCAGCCUCUGCUGCCUUGAUUCACCCUUUUCUCUCAGGAUUGGUGUGGACAGAAGGGAACUCCUGUUGUGUUUUGCCUGUGGAUAGUAUGACCAACUACCUCCCUCAUCUUCCUGCUGCCAUGAAUUCCCCAUCAUGAUGAACAAAUACCUCAAGCUGUGAGCCAGCAUAAGCUGUCAUCCCCGCCCCCCACCCCAAACUGUUUUACCAGAACAGGAGGAAGAGAAAUGGGCCACGAAACCCCACCAGCUAGAAAAGAGAAGACAGCUAGGAGUAGCUCCAUCGCUGAAAUAUGGGACUUCUUUUUAUAAAAGAAAAAAAAAUGGAUUCCAGUCAUCCAUCAAGCUAAGGAAGAGCCUCUUUAUUAUUCUUUCCGUUUUAUAAUUAGAGCACUCUA